rnacentral:rRNA from 1 species
AGAGAGAGACAUGCGCGCAUAUCAAUAAGCGGAGGAAAAGAAACUAACAAGGAUUCCCCUAGUAACGGCGAGUGAAGCGGGAAGAGCUCAAAUUUGAAAUCUUAAAGGGUUUCCCUUUACGAAUUGUAGUUUAAAGAAGUGUUUUCUGUUGAGGUUUUGGUAAAAGUUCUUUGGAAUAGGACAUCAUAGAGGGUGAGAAUCCCGUAUUUGACCUUUACUUUCAACUUUGUGAUACACUUUCAAAGAGUCGGAUUGUUUGGGAAUGCAGUCCAAAAUGGGUGGUAAAUUUCAUCUAAAGCUAAAUAUUGGCGAGAGACCGAUAGCGAACAAGUACCGUGAGGGAAAGAUGAAAAGAACUUUGAAAAGAGAGUUAAACAGUACGUGAAAUUGUCAAAAGGGAAGCGUUUGACACCAGUGUUGUUUUUCUGAAAAUCAAUUAAAGAACUGUUUAUGCUAAGCUGUUUAGACUUUAUCAGCUAUCUGUUUAGUUUUGAGCUUUCUUUAAUGCACUUUUCAGUUAACAAGUCAACAUCAAUUUCUUUUGCUGUAAAAAAGCUUGAGGAAGGUGGCUUGAGAUUCGUCUUAAGUGUUUAUAGCCUCUUGCCUAUGCAGUCGGAGAGAUUGAGGUCUGCAGCGUAGAUCCUUCGGGGCUAAAUGCAUUUGUGCUAAGUUAUAGCAUUUUAUAGACAACUUGUUGACUAUGAUUUGUCUUGUAGCUUACUCGCUUAUGUUAUUUUACCUACGCUUAGGAUGUUGACGCAUGAGAUAUACGC